rnacentral:rRNA from 1 species
UACGUAGGGUGCGAGCGUUGUCCGGAAUUAUUGGGCGUAAAGGGCGCGUAGGCGGCCAACUAAGUCAGACGUGAAAUCCCUCGGCUCAACCGGGGAACUGCGUCUGAUACUGGAUGGCUUGAAUUCGGGAGAGGGAUGCGGAAUUCCAGGUGUAGCGGUGAAAUGCGUAGAUAUCUGGAGGAACACCGGUGGCGAAGGCGGCAUCCUGGACCGGUAUUGACGCUGAGGCGCGAAAGCCAGGGGAGCAAACGGG